UACGGAGGGGGCUAGCGUUGUUCGGAAUUACUGGGCGUAAAGCGCACGUAGGCGGCUUUGUAAGUCAGAGGUGAAAGCCCGGGGCUCAACUCCGGAAUUGCCUUUAAGACUGCAUCGCUAGAAUUGUGGAGAGGUAAGUGGAAUUCCGGGUGUAGAGGUGAAAUUCGUAGAUAUUCGGAAGAACACCAGUGGCGAAGGCGACUUACUGGACACAUAUUGACGCUGAGGUGCGAAAGCGUGGGGAGCAAACAGG
rnacentral:rRNA from 1 species